GAGAGAGAGGUACGUAACUGUCGAAAGAAGAUUCAGAGAAAGUCCGAGGAAACCUCUCCGUCUCCUUCCUUCUUCCGAGAGGAGAACGGGCACUUCAUUCAUUCAUUUGGAACGUCAUUUGACCAUAAAAAAACAUCAUAUGUUUUGGCUAAAUUCCAAAUCUUUGGUGCCCGUUCUCCUCUCUGACCCAAAUCCAAUUCCAAUUCCUGGUGGGGUUUUCAAUUUCCUCUUCGAUUCCUUUUCCUCCACUUCCGGUUCAAACAAAACCCACAAAUCUGAUUCCUUUUUUACAACCAAAGGCUGCAGCUUUCGAUUGGAGGGAAUUUUGGGUCGGUUACCAGAGGAGAAACCUUUGAUGGGUUGUGUGUGAUUUUCGAUUUCGUUCAUGUUUUGUGAGUGUUUGAUUUUAGGAGUUUUCGAUAGUUUUCGGGUCGGUUUUAUAUGGGUGUUUGAUGGGUUUGUGAUUGAUUUACUUGAGCAUUGCUGUAAUAAUUGGAGAAUUUGAGUGUUUCCGUGGUGUGGUUGCUCGGUCAGAUUGGUAUCCUUGAAUGUAUCUUGCUAUCAGUGCGGUGGAGGAUCGGCUUCUGAGUGUGCCCGACUCGAAUCUGGGUGUUCUCAGGCCAUUUUACCUGCCCAUUGAGCAAAAGGCCGUCAAUUUUUGUUUUCCGAGAGAUAGAUGGGAUAAGGAGUUCUUCAAGUUGCAGAGCGGAUAAUAAAUUACUUGUCGAAUUUACGACAUUUUUGGCUUUGGUGGUCGUUUUGUUUCGAGAAAUUUGAGAUGGGUUCGACGCAGAGAUCGACCUUGUCAACAAAUGUGGCGGAAUUGGUUGAUGCUUCGCAAUCAGCCCGCCAAGAGGUUUCGUACAUUGGUAGUAUGCCGGUUUAUGUUAGGGAGUUGAUUGCCGGAGGCGCUGCUGGAGGAUUCGCGAAGACUGCGGUUGCGCCGCUGGAAAGGACCAAGAUACUCUUGCAGACAAGAACAGAGUUCCGUUCUCUCGGAGUGUGUCAAUCUCUGAAGAAGUUAUUUCAGCAUGAAGGUGUUCGAGGAUUCUACAAAGGAAAUGGAGCUAGUGUCGUUCGAAUUAUUCCCUAUGCAGCCUUACAUUACAUGACAUAUGAGCAGUACAGGUGUUGGAUCUUGAACAAUUAUUCUGCUUUAGGUUCAGGGCCUCAUAUUGAUCUUUUAGCCGGUGCAGCAGCUGGAGGGACAGCCGUUUUAUGCACGUACCCCUUGGACCUUGCUCGCACCAAACUUGCUUAUCAGGUUGUUAAUACUAGAGGCAACUUUGAUUAUGGUAUGAAAGGCGCACAUGCUCAAGUUGCUUAUAAGGGCAUAAAGGACGUGCUUUCAAGUGUUUACAAGGAGGGGGGCUUGCGUGGGCUUUAUCGAGGUGUAGGCCCAACACUCACUGGAAUACUCCCUUAUGCUGGUUUAAAGUUCUAUAUAUAUGAGGAACUUAAACUCCAUGUUCCUGAAGAGUAUGAAAAGUCCAUUGUGAUGCGUCUUUCCUGUGGAGCUUUGGCCGGGUUAUUUGGGCAAACUCUGACAUACCCCUUGGAUGUCGUUAGGAGGCAAAUGCAGGUUGAGAAUUUGCGGUCUUCAGAUCAUGGCGGUGUUAGGUACAGAAACACAAUGGCGGGUCUUAAAUAUAUCAUCCGAAACCAAGGAUGGAAAAAGUUGUUUUCAGGCCUAAGCAUUAAUUAUAUCAAGGUAAUUUCUCAUUCUCUGUGUCAAAUUAAUAGACUGAAUUUCAGACACGAUUGAGUGUCUGUAUUUGCAAGGAUAAGCUCGUGUUUCUGGGGCCCUGCUGAUACUUCGAAUCGUUCCUUCUGUGGCAAUCGGUUUCACUGCAUACGACACGAUGAAGGUUUGGCUCCACAUUCCGCCCCAUCGGAAGUCCAGUCAAUAACUGCUGCUGCAUGACUGGAAAUUCAGAAUGUGUUAACUUACAAAUUCCACCCAAUAGUUAGAAUUUGAUGCUAAUACAUACAUUGUAUCUCUCUUAAUAACAAGAGAUGAUUGUGCCAUCGUUAUUGAAAAUUAAGUUUCUGCA